AUCUCCUGUCGGGCCAUUCUAUUACAGUUGCUAAUGCAACUCACCAUGCAGCUGGAGUGUGUGAUCUGAUUACUGCCUUCAGGAUUGUUGUGACUUCCCGUGUGCUUUUAGCUCUGUGGUUCAGCCACCAAACAAACCAUCCCUGCCAGAAGGUUGGUGCUUCUUUCAGAGGCUCUCCAAAAACACAUCUCCCUAGUUACCAGAGGAGAUGAGGUGAGAUCAUGGCAGCCUCACUGCACCUGGUGCUCUUUGCUCUCUGUCUUCCUGGGACUGCCAUGGGUAUUUCAUUCUGUUUAGAGUUCUUGUUCAAGAGUGGAAGACUGUUUAAUUUUGAAAUGCAUGAGAAAAAGGCCUCAAAGAUGUACUGUGGGUUGCAUUCCUCCCCUGGAACUCAGAGACGUGACUGAUGACAAUGAAUGGGACUUCCCAUUGUGACCUUCUGUCUCUCUGGCUUUGGAUACAAGCAGGGGUAAGGAUGCCAGCAGUGAUGGAAACUGAGCCAGCAGGUCUCACUGCCCACACUGACAGCAGCACCAUAAUAGGCUGAUACUAACAGGGACCAGCGACCCUCUUUCGUACAGAUGAACAGUCUCCAUUUUAAUCCUUAAAGUGCGUGGAUGAACCUCUGUUGUUACCAAGAACAGAAAACUUGAAAUCAUCCAGAACUCCUUAUGUUCACCACAACUGAAACAACUGCAGACAGCAAUGCUGAACUGUCAAGACAUAUUAUAGAAAAAAGCAAAGAUGAUACUUCUCCUUGGUAAACAGAGGUACAACAUUUCUCACGUGUCUUUCUGACUUCAGUUUUAAAAAGCAAAACAAACCAGCCCCAUGUAUGUUCUUCUUCGCUCAUUUUCAUCCCUUAAUCAGGACUGAUGCUCCAGGAUUUAGUGAUUUUUCAUGUUUUCUGUAAUCUGGUGUUUGAAUUGUUACUGUCAAUAAUUUGGAUUCCUGGAGAAAGCAGAAG
rnacentral:lncRNA from 1 species